rnacentral:rRNA from 1 species
GGGUCAGUAGGUUGGUCGUGCCACCGGUACGUACUGGUCUCACUGAUUCCUCCUUCCUGAAGAACCGUAAUGCCAUUAAUUUGGUGUUGCGGGGAAACAGGACUGUUACUUUGAAAAAAUUAGAGUGUUUAAAGCUAGCUAACGCUUGAAUACAUUAGCAUGGAAUAAUGAAAUAGGACGAUCGAUCCUAUUUUGUUGGUUUCUAGGAUUGACGUA